UUAUAGUUGCGCAGGCACUUUAUUGACUCUAGAGAAGCUCGGGUCAAUCGCACAUCCCCGUGAUGGCGACUUUACAUUUGGAUGUCAUCCAUAUCAACUUUUGAUGCCAGUUUCUGCUCCUACCAUGGUGACAAUGGGUCACGGGGAAUUAGGGUUCCAUUCCGUACAGGGACCCUGAGAAACGGCUACCACAUGCAAGGAAGGCAGCAGGCGCGCAAAUGACCCACUCCCGACGCGGGAAGGUAGUGACGA